rnacentral:rRNA from 1 species
GACGAACGCUGGCGGCGUGCUUAACACAUGCAAGUCGAACGGAAAGGCCCUGCUUUUGUGGGGUGCUCGAGUGGCGAACGGGUGAGUAACACGUGAGUAACCUGCCCUUGACUUUGGGAUAACUUCAGGAAACUGGGGCUAAUACCGGAUAGGAGCUCCUGCUGCAUGGUGGGGGUUGGAAAGUUUCGGCGGUUGGGGAUGGACUCGCGGCUUAUCAGCUUGUUGGUGGGGUAGUGGCUUACCAAGGCUUUGACGGGUAGCCGGCCUGAGAGGGUGACCGGCCACAUUGGGACUGGGAUACGGCCCAGACUCCUACGGGAGGCAGCAGUGGGGAAUAUUGCACAAUGGGCGGAAGCCUGAUGCAGCAACGCCGCGUGCGGAUGACGGCCUUCGGGUUGUAAACCGCUUUCGCCUGUGACGAAGCGUGAGUGACGGUAAUGGGUAAAGAAGCACCGGCUAACUACGUG